rnacentral:rRNA from 1 species
AGGACCGCCGUAAUGAUUAAUAGGGACAGUCGGGGGCAUCAGUAUUCAAUUGUCAGAGGUGAAAUUCUUGGAGUUAUUGAAGACUAACUACUGUGAAAGCAUUUGCCAAGGAUGUUUUCAUUAAUCAGGAACGAAAGUUAGGGGAUCGAAGACGAUCAGAUACCGUCGUAGUCUUAACCAUAAACUAUGCCGACUAGGGAUCGGACGAUGUUAUUUUUUGACGCGUUCGGCACCUUACGAGAAAUCAAAGUGCUUGGGCUCCAGGGGGAGUAUGGUCGCAAGGCUGAAACUUAAAGAAAUUGACAGAAGGGCACCACCAGGGGUGGAGCCUGCGGCUUAAUUUGACUCAACACGGGGAAACUCACCAGGUCCAGACACAAUGAGGAUUGACAGAUUGAGAGCUCUUUCUUGAUUUUGUGGGUGGUGGUGCAUGGCCGUUCUUAGUUGGUGGAGUGAUUUGUCUGCUUAAUUGCGAUAACGAACGAGACCUUAACCUGCUAAAUAGCCCGUAUUGCUUUGGCAGUACGCCGGCUUCUUAGAGGGACUAUCGGCUCAAGCCGAUGGAAGUUUGAGGCAAUAACAGGUCUGUGAUGCCCUUAGAUGUUCUGGGCCGCACGCGCGCUACACUGACGGAGCCAGCGAGUACUUCCUUGGCCGAAAGGCCCGGGUAAUGCUGUCUAUCCCUU